rnacentral:rRNA from 1 species
UACGUAGGGGGCAAGCGUUGUCCGGAUUUAUUGGGCGUAAAGAGCGUGUAGGCGGCCAGGUAGGUCCGUUGUGAAAACUCGAGGCUCAACCUCGAGCUGUCGAUGGAAACCAUCUGGCUAGAGUCCGGAAGAGGAGAGUGGAAUUCCCGGUGUAGCGGUGAAAUGCGCAGAUAUCGGGAAGAACACCCGUGGCGAAGGCGGCUCUCUGGGACGGUACUGACGCUGAGGCGCGAAAGCUAGGGGAGCAAACGGG